rnacentral:tRNA from 1 species
GGAGAGUUGGCUGAGUGGUCGAAGGCGCACGAUUGGAAAUCGUGUUUACCUCACAAGGGUAACUAGGGUUCAAAUCCCUAACUCUCCGCCA